rnacentral:rRNA from 1 species
GACGAACGCUGGCGGCGUGCUUAACACAUGCAAGUCGAGCGGUGAACCUCUUCGGAGGGGAUCAGUGGCGAACGGGUGAGUAACACGUGGGCAACCUGCCCCCGGCUCUGGGAUAACUCCAAGAAAUUGGGGCUAAUACCGGAUGUUCACCGCUUCCCGCAUGGGUGGUGGUGGAAAGGGUUUCCGGCUGGGGGUGGGCCCGCGGCCUAUCAGCUUGUUGGUGGGGUAGUGGCCUACCAAGGCGACGACGGGUAGCCGGCCUGAGAGGGUGACCGGCCACACUGGGACUGAGACACGGCCCAGACUCCUACGGGAGGCAGCAGUGGGGAAUAUUGCGCAAUGGGCGGAAGCCUGACGCAGCGACGCCGCGUGGGGGAUGACGGCCUUCGGGUUGUAAACCUCUUUCAGCAGGGACGAAGCGCAAGUGACGGUACCUGCAGAAGAAGCACCGGCCAACUACGUG